rnacentral:rRNA from 1 species
GUGUCAGCCGCCGCGGUAAAACCAGCACCUCAAGUGGUCAGGAGGUUUAUUGGGCCUAAAGCAUCCGUAGCCUGAUCUAUAAGUUUCCGGUUAAAUCCACAUGCUCAACAUUUGGGCUGCCGGAAAAACUGUAGAUCUAGGGAGUGGGAGAGGUAGACGGUACUCGGUAGGAAGGGGUAAAAUCCUUUGAUCUAUUGAUGACCACCAGUGGCGAAGGCGGUCUACCAGAACACGUUCGACGGUGAGGGAUGAAAGCUGGGGGAGCAAACCGGAUUAGAUACCCGGGUAGUCCCAGCUGUAAACGAUGCAGACUCGGUGAUGCAUUGGCUUGUGGCCAGUGCAGUGCCGCAGGGAAGCCGUUAAGUUUGCCGCCUGGGAAGUACGUACGCAAGUAUGAAACUUAAAGGAAUUGGCGGGGGAGCACCACAAGGGGUGAAGCCUGCGGUUCAAUUGGAGUCAACGCCAGAAAUCUUACCCGGAGAGACAGCAGAAUGAAGGUCAAGCUGAAGACUUUACCAGACAAGCUGAGAGGUGGUGCAUGGCCGUCGCCAGCUCGUGCCGUGAGAUGUCCUGUUAAGUCAGGUAACGAGCGAGACCCUUGCCUCUAGUUGCCACCAUUGCUCUCUGGAGCAGUGGGGCGAAUUAGCGGGACCGCCGCAGUUAAUGCGGAGGAAGGAAAGGGCUACGGCAGGUCAGUAUGCCCCGAAACUCUGGGGCCACACGCGGGCUGCAAUGGUAGUGACAAUGUUUUCCAAACCGAAAGGGGAGGUAAUCAUGAAACGCUACCACAGUUAUGACUGAGGGCUGCAACUCGCCCUCACGAAUAUGGAAUCCCUAGUAACUGCGUGUCAUUACCGCGCGGUGAAUACGUCCCUGCUCCUUGCACACACCGCCCGUC